UACGUAGGGGGCAAGCGUUGCCCGGAUUUAUUGGGCGUAAAGAGCGUGUAGGCGGCCAGGUAGGUCAGCUGUGAAAACUCGAGGCUCAACCUCGAGACGUCGGUUGAAACCACCUGGCUAGAGUCCGGAAGAGGAGAGUGGAAUUCCUGGUGUAGCGGUGAAAUGCGCAGAUAUCAGGAAGAACACCCGUGGCGAAGGCGGCUCUCUGGGACGGUACUGACGCUGAGACGCGAAAGCGUGGGGAGCGAACAGG
rnacentral:rRNA from 1 species